GGUGGAUGCGCCUGUAUUGUCAGCUAGGAAGAAGACUGGUAUCAAACAGAAACUGAAACAGUUCUUCUCGAAGCUACCAUUCAGAA